GACAACUGAAUAGAAUCCAUUUUAUAGAGGUCAAAUUUUUAGAAAAGGUUUGGUUAACUAAAGUUAAUAUAUACGAAACUUACCAUGCUGGAGCUGUGACGAGAAUUUUGGCCAAGAAUGAAGAAAAGCGAUGGGUUGAAAUAUUUAAGGUUUCUCAUGCACACUUGAUCGGCAAGUCCAGGAUUUUCUCCCCCAAAAUAAAAAGCGUGAAUUUCCCUGUGAACGAGCUGAGAAUCGAAGUUGAUUGU